CUCAGGACGAACGCUGGCGGCGUGCCUAAUACAUGCAAGUCGAGCGGACAGAUGGGAGCUUGCUCCCUGAUGUUAGCGGCGGACGGGUGAGUAACACGUGGGUAACCUGCCUGUAAGACUGGGAUAACUCCGGGAAACCGGGGCUAAUACCGGAUGGUUGUCUGAACCGCAUGGUUCAGACAUAAAAGGUGGCUUCGGCUACCACUUACAGAUGGACCCGCGGCGCAUUAGCUAGUUGGUGAGGUAACGGCUCACCAAGGCGACGAUGCGUAGCCGACCUGAGAGGGUGAUCGGCCACACUGGGACUGAGACACGGCCCAGACUCCUACGGGAGGCAGCAGUAGGGAAUCUUCCGCAAUGGACGAAAGUCUGACGGAGCAACGCCGCGUGAGUGAUGAAGGUUUUCGGAUCGUAAAGCUCUGUUGUUAGGGAAGAACAAGUGCCGUCAAAUAGGGCG
rnacentral:rRNA from 1 species